CCACUGUCAUGAUCGUGUGCAGGAUUGGACAAAACAAGAUGGCAGACGGCAUUUCCAAACAAAGAUCCAGUCAGGAGCGGACUUCCUUAAGCUUAAAAGUUGCAAGUGAAUGAAGUGUGUUCUAUUUUAUGUCUCCUACUAAAACCAUGGUUUUGACAAACCUAGAAGAGCACGUGGAGCAAGGAACUAUCAGUAAGCCGGAAGAGCCAGCUCAAAAAUCUUUAAGUGUUUGAGAAUUUCACCGCGCACAUGAGUCUAAAGUUCUGCACACGUUAUAAGGAGCCUUGUUCUCGGAGAUCAACAUGUUGAAAAGUCUUCAUUUUGCAGAAGCAAAUACAUUUAUAUUGUAUAUACACGUGUAGACCAUGUUCGAUUCCCAACCACUUAAAAUUUGUGAUAUCUGCAUGGAAUUAUUAAAACUGAGCAUGGUUUGACGUAUAAUAAUCUCUUUAGGCACGAUGGUUUACAUUUCACAAAGCUGUUCAAUGACAAUAAAGACAAUAAGAUGUU